rnacentral:lncRNA from 1 species
GGUGAGGAAUUAGUGAGUGAGUCACUAUGUCUCAAAUGAGUGGGACUAGUGAGCUUGGUAGCCGUAUCUGGAUUUGAUCGGUGAGGUUGAACUAUAUGUUCACGAAUAGUCGGUACCGCAUGCAUGGAGUCUCAUUGCAUAAUGUAUGUAUGGCGUAUAAUAUGAAUGGAUGUAUUCCAAUAUUAUACGUGUGUUUGUGUUGAUGUUGAGUACGAGUAUGAGUUGC